rnacentral:rRNA from 1 species
CAAGUCGAACGCGAAAGCCUCCUUCGGGGGGCAAGUAGAGUGGCGCACGGGUGAGUAACACGUAGGUAAUCUACCUUUGGAUUGGGAAUAACCACCGGAAACGGUGGCUAAUACCGAAUAAUGCAGCGGCACCUAAUGGUGACAGUUGUUAAAGCGGGGGAUCGCAAGACCUCGCGUCUAAAGAGGAGCCUGCGGCGGAUUAGCUUGUUGGUAAGGUAACGGCUUACCAAGGCGAUGAUCCGUAGCCGGCCUGAGAGGGCGGCCGGCCACACUGACACUGACAUACGGGUCAGACUCCUACGGGAGGCAGCAGUCGGGAAUUUUGGGCAAUGGGCGAAAGCCUGACCCAGCAACGCCGCGUGAAGGAUGAAAUCCCUCGGGAUGUAAACUUCGCAAGAACGGGAAGAAUAAGUAAGAGUUAACAUCUCUUACGAUGACGGUACUGUUUGUAAGCUCCGGCUAACUCCGUGCCAGCAGCCGCGGUAAUACGGGGGGAGCAAGCGUUGUUCGGAUUUACUGGGCGUAAAGGGCGCGUAGGCGGCCACCGCAAGUCGACUGUGAAAUCUCCGGGCUUAACCCGGAAAGGUCAGCCGAUACUGCGGGGCUAGAGUGCAGAAGGGGCAACUGGAAUUCUCGGUGUAGCGGUGAAAUGCGUAGAUAUCGAGAGGAACACCUGCGGCGAAGGCGGGUUGCUGGGCUGACACUGACGCUGAUGCGCGAAAGCUAGGGGAGCGAACGGGAUUAGAUACCCCGGUGGUCCUAGCCUUAAACGAUGAAUGCUUGGUGUCUGGGGUUUUAUAGUCCCCGGGUGCC